UACGUAGGGUGCAAGCGUUGUCCGGAAUUAUUGGGCGUAAAGAGCGUGUAGGCGGCCCGACCAGUCCGCUGUGAAAGUCCAGGGCUCAACCCUGGAAUGCCGGUGGAUACUGUCGGGCUAGAGUCCGGAAGGGGCGAGUGGAAUUCCCGGUGUAGAGGUGAAAUUCGUAGAUAUCGGGAGGAACACCGGUGGCGAAGGCGGCGAUCUGGGUCGAUACUGACGCUGAGGUGCGAAAGCGUGGGGAGCAAAACAGG
rnacentral:rRNA from 1 species